rnacentral:rRNA from 1 species
AGUGAACGCUGGCGGUAGGCCUAACACAUGCAAGUCGAACGGCAGCACAGUAAGAGCUUGCUCUUACGGGUGGCGAGUGGCGGACGGGUGAGGAAUACAUCGGAAUCUACUUUUUCGUGGGGGAUAACGUAGGGAAACUUACGCUAAUACCGCAUACGACCUACGGGUGAAAUCAGGGGAUCUUCGGACCUUGCGCGAUUGAAUGAGCCGACGUCGGAUUAGCUAGUUGGCGGGGUAAAGGCCCACCAAGGCGACGAUCCGUAGCUGGUCUGAGAGGAUGAUCAGCCACACUGGAACUGAGACACGGUCCAGACUCCUACGGGAGGCAGCAGUGGGGAAUAUUGGACAAAGGGCGCAAGCCUGAUCCAGCCAUACCGCGUGGGUGAAGAAGGCCUUCGGGUUGUAAAGCCCUUUUGUUGGGAAAGAAAAGCAGCAGGUUAAUACCCCGCUGUUCUGACGGUACCCAAAGAAUAAGCACCGGCUAACUUCGUG